AACGAAAUCGAAGAAUAUAUCCACAUAGCAUAUACUUAAUCUGUUAUUUUGAUUUGAAAAAUAAUUCUGAGAAGAUUUUAGCUAAACUAAAUUGGUAGAAUUUUAGUAUAUAUCCACUUAGCAUAUUCGAAAUGUAUUCGUUUAACUAUCUACCAAGAUCUUAAAUUUGGUAGAGUUAUUUGUUAUUUUCAAUUCAGGAUGUAUUGAAGAACACGUUUAUCUCUCGGAGAACAGGAGUUACAUGGUACUAAUGCAAAUAGGAGAAGAGCAUGUGUUUUGACCUGACAUAAUGAAUCAGGAUGCAGGAACAACUUGGUGGAGGAAGGUAAUUGUUUGUCUCUGUUAUGGAUGUUUCUGAGAUUUCUGAUGAUCAUACGAUUGAUAUAUGGGUUGCAAGUUUUGUGUCGUUGUAUUGUUUACAAAUAAGUUGUGGUUCAUGUUUUUAAUUUUAUUUGGGUAUUCGUAUGAUAUAA